UACGUAGGUGGCAAGCGUUGUCCGGAUUUAUUGGGCGUAAAGCGCUCGCAGGCGGUCCGAUGCGUCGUGCGUGAAAGACCCCGGCUCAACUGGGGGAGGUCGUGCGAUACGGUCGGACUCGAGGCCAGUAGGGGGAUGCGGAAUUCCGGGUGUAGUGGUGGAAUGCGUAGAGAUCGGGAGGAACACCAGUGGCGAAGGCGACUUCCUGGCCUGUUCUUGACGCUGAGGCGCGAAAGCUAGGGUAGCAAACAGG
rnacentral:rRNA from 1 species